CAUUUUGCGCUUGGGGCAAUGACGCAGCUAGUGAGAUCAUACCGACACGCGUUAAUUGCUGGUUGAAAACUAUUUUCAUACCUCCUCUUUAGCCCUGGGCCAGUGAGAAUUUCUGGAAGGAGUCCUCC